UUCAGUUAAGUUUCGGUUUUAAAUUUAUGUCAGAGUGAGUGCUCUCACCGUGCAAUCUUAAUUUUAAUCGAGCACAUUUUCAGGAAGAUGCGGCCAUGUUCGUGCUGAGUCGGCUCUGUGCGUGCAAGUGUUGGGAUUCUUCCGUCCUUAUUAUAAUCAUUAUGGCUCUGAGAACAAUUGAGUCAUUUCUAACUGAUGCAGUCAUCUGUCAAAAUCCCACUUUCUGGAGGAUGACACAACAUUCCCCGCCACAUGACAAGCUCCCCAAAAACACGUGUGGAAGCCUCCACGGCUGCCUGGAGUAUUGAUCACCUGUCAGAUAGAUCACAGCGUGUGAGGCUAAGGGGCUGUGAAUCUGAGCAGGUGGUCAACAGCACAAGGGGACCCCCAGGGGACCGUCCUCUCCCCAAUCCUCUUCAACCUGCAUGCCUGCGACUUUCAGUAAAGCUCAGUCUUGUCAUGUUCAGAAAUCCUCAGGGAACCGUCGGUUUUUGGGUGUGAAAGUGGUGGAGGGAAGAUUGAGUGCAGAAGGAGUGGUGGACACUUUGUGGCAUGGUGAAGGAUCAAUAGCUUAAGCUUGAAUGUCAAGAAGAAAAACAAAUAGAGGAGAUGUGGAACUCAAUUCAACAGCAUCUCCAUCCAAAAAGAACAGCAACUCUGAAGGAAUUAACAAAAACAGACUUAGAUCUUAUUAAUGUCUUCAUAAAGAAGAAAGUACAGAUUUAAGUUUUGAAGUCAGUUAUUGUUAUCGGUUCAACCUCAAAGAAAUGGUCUCAAAAGCUGAUUUCACAAUGAAGGUGAGUCAUGUGUCAGGGGCAUAGACUGUACAAUCACUGGACAGCUCGACCCCUCCCCCCUCAUGUUCCAAACAGGAAGUACCUGAGGGAUACAAGACGCCAAAAUCCCAUAAUCUCAUUUUCAUUCAUUGCAACCUAUUCAAGUUAUGAAUUGGCCAAUCAGAUGACUCAGUAAAAGCAUAUCGACAAGGCUUAAAACUUUUGGUAGUAGCUACUUCCACAUGUGUUUGUAGCAUCAAGUUCAUGAAAAUCUUGUUGGACACGGAACAAAUGCUGCAAAAGAAAAGGGAACUGUCUAAUAAAGAAGGCUGGUCUGCGCCUGGAACAUCUGGAGUGUCUCAUAAAAAAAGAAUUCUGUUGUAGAUAUAACAGCAAAAGAGCUGCCAACCUCUGUACAAAACACAUUGUGUUCAGUUACAGAACUCCUCAGAUUUUUCUGCAAGGCUGCGUUCCACCAAAGAUUAUUCCCAUCAACAGUCGUCAAAACCAUAAUGACUCUCCACACUCAGCUAGUAACCUAUUGCAAUUAUUGACUGACAUGCUCCACUGCAACGCUUGAACUUCCGAUACCUCGGAGAAUAAUAGAACCUUCGAAGAUUUGAGUUUGGAUGCUUUUACAAGGAUCGUACUCUCACACUGACUGUAGAGGGACUUCUAGAUGAGACAUGAUGGACACUAAAGAUUUUCAAGGUAAUACUGUAACUCUCAGAUCAUUUUGUUAGAUCUCUGAAAGCUUCAGGAAAAACAAUGUGUGGAAUUAUUUUUAAUGGUUGUAAGGCAGUAACUAUCAUUUGAAGAAAAAAAUAAAUAAAAACAUUAAGAUUGUUUUUUAAUUUGUAAUCGGUUGUUCUGUCUUUAUGAGACACAUGCAAUUAAAAUAAAAGCAUAAACACUAGAGGAAAAUAAAAAAAAAUACACAUGACAACACCCAGUGAAAGCUAUUAGGUGAAAUAAUUGGGAAUGAGAGAAGUGGAGAAGAAACAAUGUAAGACAAAUUGUUUUUUGUUUUUUUUUCUUAUCCCAUAUUUCACUUUUUGAAAAUAUCCUUUAACAUGCAGCUUUUGUUAACCUUUUUACACUUCUCGUUUUGUAUCCUUUCUACUCUAGAACCACAUCCAUUUUUUUUUUUAAAUGGGACUUAUUUUUUACCUCUGAACCCUCACCUUUCUGGGUUACUUAUGUCAGGAUUUCCCACCGCCUUAACAUUCAGCUUCAGCUGUGCCUUUCCCUCAUUUGACCUUCAUCAAGCGAGCCUUAUUAACUUGCCCUUUGCAGCUGCAUGCCAGCUAUCUUGUUCCAUGAUCAGAGCCUGUGUGAUACUGCUGUUCAAUUAAAUUCUGAGCAUAAAAAAGAAACUCUACUAAGCACUUCACUACAAAAAUCUUCUUGUUUGCAUCAGUUAUGAUAAAUUAUUAUUACCAAAAAUUCUUGAUGUGGCCUUUGAGUAUUUGUUACUGGUGCAAAAGUAAUCCUUGUCCUUUGUUAUUAACAAACAGCUAUACAUUAUUUGAAAAUACAGUCUCAAGUUAAGCUACGUGAUACAAUCUGCAUUGUAAAAUGUUUAGCUAGUGUUGAAAACUGUCAGAAACAUAUUUAAUUAAACUUUUUGGUUCUUCUGAAUGAUAAAAGUCUGAAUUAUUCCCUCCAAUAAUGUUCAAAGUCUCACUCCGAUCAUCUUGUGAUCUAUUUUUAAAAAGGUUCCCUGUGGUCUUUUAAUUAUGAUUUUGCUGUUUUUAG